GCCUGAGUGGCUCAGUCAGUUAAGCGUCUGACUUCAGUUUAGGAAAUGAUCUCAUCGUUUGUGGGUUCGAGCCCCGUGUCAGGCU
rnacentral:tRNA from 1 species